rnacentral:misc_RNA from 1 species
CAACCCUCGAACCCCUCCGGGGGGUCGGCGUUGGGGAUCGGCCCUGCCUCUUGGCGGUGGCCGUCUCCGAAAUACAGUGGCGGUCUCGCCGCAGCCUCUCCUGCGCAGUAGUUUGCACACUCGCAUCGGGAGCGCGGCGCGUCCACAGCCGUUAAACACCCAACUUCUGAAAUG